rnacentral:rRNA from 1 species
AACGAACGCUGGCGGCAGGCCUAACACAUGCAAGUCGAGCGAGGACUCCGGUUCUAGCGGCGGACGGGUGAGUAACGCGUGGGAAUGUGCCCUUCUCUACGGAAUAGCCCUGGGAAACUGGGAGUAAUACCGUAUACGCCCUAUUGGGGAAAGAUUUAUCGGAGAAGGCUCAGCCCGCGUUGGAUUAGGUAGUUGGUGGGGUAAUGGCCUACCAAGCCGACGAUCCAUAGCUGGUUUGAGAGGAUGAUCAGCCACACUGGGACUGAGACACGGCCCAGACUCCUACGGGAGGCAGCAGUGGGGAAUCUUGGACAAUGGGGGCAACCCUGAUCUAGCCAUGCCGCGUGAGUGAUGAAGGCCUUAGGGUUGUAAAGCUCUUUCAGCUGGGAAGAUAAUGACGGUACCAGCAGAAGAAGCCCCGGCUAACUCCGUG